GUGGGGAAUAUUGGACAAUGGGCGCAAGCCUGAUCCAGCCAUACCGCGUGGGUGAAGAAGGCCUUCGGGUUGUAAAGCCCUUUUGUUGGGAAAGAAAAGCAGUCGGCUAAUACCCGGUUGUUCUGACGGUACCCAAAGAAUAAGCACCGGCUAACUUCGUGCCAGCAGCCGCGGUAAUACGAAGGGUGCAAGCGUUACUCGGAAUUACUGGGCGUAAAGCGUGCGUAGGUGGUUGUUUAAGUCUGUUGUGAAAGCCCUGGGCUCAACCUGGGAAUUGCAGUGGAUACUGGGCGACUAGAGUGUGGUAGAGGGUAGUGGAAUUCCCGGUGUAGCAGUGAAAUGCGUAGAGAUCGGGAGGAACAUCCAUGGCGAAGGCAGCUACCUGGACCAACACUGACACUGAGGCACGAAAGCGUGGGGAGCAAACAGG
rnacentral:rRNA from 2 species